rnacentral:rRNA from 1 species
CCUACGGGUGGCAGCAGUGAGGAAUAUUGGUCAAUGGGCGAGAGCCUGAACCAGCCAAGUCGCGUGAGGGAGUACUGCCCUAUGGGCGUUAAACUUCUUUUGUGCGGGAGCAAUAAUGGUCACGUGUGGCCAGACGAGAGUACCGUACGAAUAAGCAUCGGCUAACUCCGUGCCAGCAGCCGCGGUAAUACGGGGGAUGCAAGCGUUAUCCGGAUUUAUUGGGUUUAAAGGGUGCGUAGGAUGUGAGGUAAGUCAGCGGUGAAAUGCCCCCGCUCAACGGGGUUAAGUGCCAUUGAUACUGGCUUGCUGGAAUGCGGAUGCCGUGGGAGGAAUGUGUGGUGUAGCGGUGAAAUGCAUAGAUAUCACACAGAACACCGAUUGCGAAGGCAUCUCACGAAUCCGCGAUUGACGCUGAUGCACGAAAGCGUGGGUAUCAAACAGGAUUAGAUACCCUGGUAGUC